rnacentral:tRNA from 1 species
CUAACAGUGGUUCAGUGGUAGAAUUCUUGCCUGCCACGCAGGAGACGCGGGUUCAAUUCCCAGAUAAU